GCACCCUACGGGAGGCAGCAGUAGGGAAUCUUCCACAAUGGACGAAAGUCUGAUGGAGCAACGCCGCGUGAGUGAAGAAGGGUUUCGGCUCGUAAAGCUCUGUUGGUAGUGAAGAAAGAUAGAGGUAGUAACUGGCCUUUAUUUGACGGUAAUUACUUAGAAAGUCACGGCUAACUACGUGCCAGCAGCCGCGGUGGUACGUAGGUGGCAAGCGUUGUCCGGAUUUAUUUGGCGU
rnacentral:rRNA from 1 species